rnacentral:rRNA from 1 species
GCUGACGAGUGGCGAACGGGUGAGUAAUGCAUCGGAACGUGCCCAGUCGUGGGGGAUAACUACUCGAAAGAGUAGCUAAUACCGCAUACGAUCUAUGGAUGAAAGCGGGGGACCGUAAGGCCUCGCGCGAUUGGAGCGGCCGAUGUCAGAUUACGUAGUUGGUGGGGUAAAGGCUCACCAAGCCAACGAUCUGUAGCUGGUCUGAGAGGACGACCAGCCACACUGGGACUGAGACACGGCCCAGACUCCUACGGGAGGCAGCAGUGGGGAAUUUUGGACAAUGGGCGCAAGCCUGAUCCAGCAAUGCCGCGUGCAGGAAGAAGGCCUUCGGGUUGUAAACUGCUUUUGUACGGAACGAAACGGCUCUGGUUAAUACCCGGGGCUAAUGACGGUACCGUAAGAAUAAGCACCGGCUAACUACGUGCCAGCAGCCGCGGUAAUACGUAGGGUGCAAGCGUUAAUCGGAAUUACUGGGCGUAAAGCGUGCGCAGGCGGUUGUGUAAGACAGGCGUGAAAUCCCCGGGCUCAACCUGGGAAUUGCGCUUGUGACUGCACGGCUGGAGUGCGGCAGAGGGGGAUGGAAUUCCGCGUGUAGCAUGAAAUGCGUAGAUAUGCGGAGGAACACCGAUGGCGAAGGCAAUCCCCUGGGCCUGCACUGACGCUCAUGC